CCUACGGGUGGCAGCAGUGGGGAAUAUUGCACAAUGGGGGGAACCCUGAUGCAGCAAUGCCGCGUGAAGGAUGAAGGUUUUCGGAUUGUAAACCUCUGUUAGCAGGGAAGAACGGUCACUGUGCUAAUCAGCAGUGAAUUGACGGUACCUGCAAAGGAAGCACCGGCUAACUCCGUGCCAGCAGCCGCGGUAAUACGUCGGGUGCGAUCGUUAAUCGGAAUUACUGGGCGUAAAGCGAUCGUAGGCGGUAUGGUAAGUCAAGGGUGAAAUCCCCGCGCUCAACGUGGGAACUGCCUUUGAAACUGGCAAGCUGGAGUGUGUGAGAGGAUAGUGGAAUUCCAGGUGUAGGAGUGAAAUCCGUAGAGAUCUGGAGGAACAUCAGUGGCGAAGGCGACUAUCUGGCACAUAACUGACGCUGAGGAGCGAAAGCGUGGGUAGCAAACAGGAUUAGAUACCCGGGUAGUC
rnacentral:rRNA from 1 species